UAUACAUUUGUCCAAACCCACAGAAUGUAAACACCAAGAGUGAACCGUAAUGUAAACUCUGGGCUUUAGGUGAUUCUGAUGUGUGAGUGCUGAUUCAUCAGUUGUAACAAGUGUACCCUCUGGUGGGGAUGCUGUAAAUAGGGAAGGCUAUGCAUGUGUUGGAACAGGGGGUAUAUGGGAAAUCUCUGCACUUUCUUCUUAAUUUUGCUGUGAACCUAAAACUGCUCCAAGAAAAAUGAAGUAUUUAAAAAAUAAAUAUAAAAUUUUAAAAUGCAUAUACAAAAAACUUGAAAUGGAUCAUAAACCUAAAACUACACAACUUCUAGAAGAACACAUAUGAGAAAAUCUUUGAUUUGGGAUUAGGCAGACAUUUUUUUCGAAUAAAAAAUUGCAUGAAUGGCAAAAGAAAAAAUUGAUACAUUGAACACGACCAAAUUGAAAACACUGGCUUUUCAAAAGACACUGUUAAGAAAAUAAGAAGGCAAGCCACAGCCUGGGAGAAAUAUUUGCAAAACACACGUGUGAUAAAGAAUUUUGUGACAGUCAUCAAUUUUUUUUUUUCUUCUUCUCAGGUCUAAAUCCUUCUUUGCCUGCUCUGUGAUGAUGGAAGUGGGCUGUGGAAAUAUUUCACCUGCGACAUUUGGUAUGAUGUAAUGCCAGUAGAGGAGGCUGGAAGAACAGUGAAAAAGGAAGGAAUUUCCUCUUCCUGUUUCCCGAGUCCUGCAGGGUGCAGGGUCUCUUGCACUGGGCUCCUACAGGGUGCAGCUUCCCCAGCUCCCAGUUCUGGUAGCUCAGGGCAACCAGCAGAGCCCAGCUGCUAGAAGCUUCCCUCAGAACUUUCUCAAAGUGAUGUGCCACUGGCAAGGCACCUGACUAUGAACGACUUCUUUGAGCAUCCCUCAGUUGACUUUGCAGCAACUUCCAAGGUCAUUUAAACAAAUUUUUAAAAAUUCCCUUUAACAAUAAAGAGGAAACCAAGGAUGCAGAUUAUGGCAAGAACAUAGUCAAGUUCCAAUACAAAAGACGAAGCAAGAUGUGUCCUAAGAAAGUGGAGAUGAAGUGUGAGAAUUCAAGGGACCCAGUGAUGGCUUCCACCUGGGCAUACCAGAAAGUUGCGUCUGCCCUAUGAUGGAAGACACGGUCCAAGCAAACCUUGGAGGUGGCGCUGGGCUGGGCCCUGCCAUGUGGAGCAAGCCAGGGCUGGCCAGGUAGGUGGCCCUGUGAGAUUAUCUGGGUACCAGCCUGGGAUCUGUGGGCUCUGAGAGAAACCAUAUCGAUCAAGGUUGUGAGUAUUUCUCUUUGUUUUGCUCUUCUUGCAUGGUCCCCUAAAUUUUGUUAGCUCCUUCUAGAGGCUGUGCCUGGUUUCUGUUAAGUAUGAUGCAUUGAGAAAAGAGCCCCGGCCAUGCUUGGGGCUGAGUGGCUAUGAGGAGGCCAGU